UUAGGAAUAUUGCACAAUGGGGGAAACCCUGAUGCAGCGACGCCGCGUGGAGGAUGAAGUCUCUAGGGAUGUAAACUCCUUUUAUUGGGAAAGAACUAAGACGGUACCCAAUGAAUAAGCCCCGGCUAACUACGUGCCAGCAGCCGCGGUAAUACGUAGGGGGCGAGCGUUGUCCGGAAUUACUGGGCGUAAAGCGCGCGUAGGCGGCUUGUUAAGUCGGUUGUGAAAUCUCCAGGGCUCAACCCGGAAACUGCAGCCGAUACUGGCAAGCUUGAGAGAUGAAGGGGCAAGUAGAAUUCCUGGUGUAGCGGUGAAAUGCAUUGAUAUCAGGAGGAAUACCCGUAGCGAAGGCGGCUUGCUGGGCAUCUUCUGACGCUGAGGCGCGAAAGCAGGGGGAGCAAACGGGAUUAGAUACCCCUGUAGUCC
rnacentral:rRNA from 1 species